GAUGAACGCUGGCGGCGUGCCUAAUACAUGCAAGUCGAGCGAACAGACGAGAGUGCUUGCACUCUCUGACGUUAGCGGCGGACGGGUGAGUAACACGUGGGUAACCUACCUAUAAGACUGGGAUAACUUCGGGAAACCGGAGCUAAUACCGGAUAAUAUUUAGCUUCGCAUGAAGCAAUAGUGAAAGACGGUUCUGCUGUCACUUAUAUAUGGACCCGCGGUGUAUUAGCUGGUUGGUGAGGUAACGGCUCACCAAGGCAACGAUACAUAGCCGACCUGAGAGGGUGAUCGGCCACACUGGGACUGAGACACGGCCCAGACUCCUACGGGAGGCAGCAGUAGGGAAUCUUCCGCAAUGGACGAAAGUCUGACGGAGCAAUGCCGCGUGAGUGAAGAAGGUUUUCGGAUCGUAAAACUCUGUUGUAAGGGAAGAACAAGUACGUUAGUAACUGAACGUACCUUGACGGUACCUUACCAGAAAGCCACGGCUAACUACGUG
rnacentral:rRNA from 1 species